rnacentral:rRNA from 1 species
UUAAAAGAGGGGGGAAAAGCGAACGGGUGGGGUGUUCCUGCGCCGAGGAUGUCCGGGGCUAAAACUUACUACGGAAGGUACGGAAGAAGUAAUGAUGGGUAGGGGAGCGUCCCAUACGGGUUGAAGCAUGACCGUAAGGACAUGUGGACAGUAUGGGAGUGAGAAUGUUGGCAUGAGUAGCGAGAUGUGGGUGAGAAUCCCACAGGCCGGAAACCCAAGGUUUCCAGGGGAAGGUUCGUCCGCCCUGGGUUAGUCGGGACCUAAGCUGAGGCCGAAAGGCGUAGGUGAUGGACAACAGGUUGAUAUUCCUGUACUACCGAUAACCGUUUGAGUG